GGCCCCAUCGUCUAGAGGCUUAGGACAACCGGCUUUCGAUCGGACAACACGGGUUCAAAUCCCGUUGGGGCUU
rnacentral:tRNA from 2 species